AGUGAACGCUGGCGGUAGGCCUAACACAUGCAAGUCGAGCGGCAGCACAGUAAGAGCUUGCUCUUACGGGUGGCGAGUGGCGGACGGGUGAGGAAUACAUCGGAAUCUACUUUUUCGUGGGGGAUAACGUAGGGAAACUUACGCUAAUACCGCAUACGACCUACGGGUGAAAGCAGGGGAUCUUCGGACCUUGCGCGAUUGAAUGAGCCGAUGUCGGAUUAGCUAGUUGGCGGGGUAAAGGCCCACCAAGGCGACGAUCCGUAGCUGGUCUGAGAGGAUGAUCAGCCACACUUGAACUGAGACACGGUCCAGACUCCUACGGGAGGCAGCAGUGGGGAAUAUUGGACAAUGGGCGCAAGCCUGAUCCAGCCAUACCGCGUGGGUGAAGAAGGCCUUCGGGUUGUAAAGCCCUUUUGUUGGGAAAGAAAAGCAGCAGGUUAAUACCCCGCUGUUCUGACGGUACCCAAAGAAUAAGCACCGGCUAACUUCGUG
rnacentral:rRNA from 1 species